rnacentral:rRNA from 1 species
UACGUAGGGGGCAAGCGUUGUCCGGAAUCAUUGGGCGUAAAGCGCGUGUAGGCGGCUCGGUAAGUCCGCUCUGAAAGUCCGGGGCUCAACCCCGGGAGGCGGGUGGAUACUGUCGAGCUCGAGUCCGGAAGAGGCGAGUGGAAUUCCUGGUGUAGCGGUGAAAUGCGCAGAUAUCAGGAGGAACACCGAUGGCGAAGGCAGCUCGCUGGGACGUGACUGACGCUGAGGAGCGAAAGCAUGGGGAGCGAACAGG